UUUUGGCUUCGCACCGCAUCUCUCUUUUUCUCUCAGUCUCUCACUCUCACUCUCCCCGAUCCCCUUCUUCACCUCACGGCCGCCGGUCAAUUCCAGCCGCCGCCGGUGGCCACCAUCGUUUUCCAGCACCCCUCGUGCACAUCUCAGCCCACACCACCUCCUCCACCAAGCUGAUUCAACACGUCCGUCUCCCACGCCUCCGCAUGGUCUCCCCGGCGUCGUCUAUGCACUGCCCCGAGCGGCCCCACAUCCUGGCUGCCGCGGCUGCGGUCGUCGACCUUGGCGGCGCACUGUCGCCAUGGCGGUGCCUUCUUGCGGUGUGUGGUAAAGUCGCUGCGCAAGAAGCAGGACCGCAUCGCGUAGAUGGAGGAGGCGGUCGCCGCCGGCAAGACGCUCAACCAGGAGCAGAAGAAGGCUAUGCGCUCCAAGCCCACCCUCGCCGCCAUCAUCCACGAGCUCGAGCGCCUCUACGUGCGCCGCUCGCCCUGCUUCCGCAGUGGGCGUCUCCCACCACGACGCGCUCCAGGCCUGCGCCCACCAUGCCCGCUUAUGGCCCGCCCGUGCCGAUGAGCCGAGCCACCCUGGCUCCUCUGUUACAUAUGCUGCGGUGAGGGCUAAGUUGGACAGGAUCAUGGCAUCAGACUAGUACACAGCAGCUGCAGACGGAGGGAGCUAUGGAGCUGAAGGUGUGCAGGCAGAGGAGAGUAUGACUGCCUCACCAGAGGCACCAUCAGUGGAGCAGAACCUAGCCGCUGAAGGUCACAAGGUGAAAUCGCAAAUUGCAUUUUUUUGCAAUUGCGUAUAUGCUCAGCAUAGUGCAGUUAACAUUGCUCUGAAACUGUCUUUUGACUGAUCUGCUGUAGUGCACAAUGCUCCUAUUAUUAUUAUGAUCAUCAUCAUUGCUGCUGCUGCUGCUGCUGUUUGUGCCGAUUCAGUAGUAAUGAUCAAUGUGGAUUAUAAUUUCUAAUAACUGGAACACUGUAAGGUCGCUCCAUUUUGGGUGUAGAUUAUGCCGUUUGAUAUGGAUGUUUUGGGCCGUUGCUUAGAUAUAACAACACAGUGCCUGUGCAUUAGUUCCAGAACACUGAAAAUAGUAACUUAACCACUAUGGGCUUUGUAUAAUAUUACAUGUAUUGUUACCACUA